rnacentral:tRNA from 1 species
GAGGAUAUAGCUCAAUUGGUAGAGUACUUAUCUUGCAAACACAAGGCCCUGGGUUCAAUCCCCAGUAGCCCCC